CAAAAAAGAAUUCAAUUAGCUACAGCAAAGGGCCACGGCGCAGAUUUGCCGUAGCUAAUGGUCCUCCUUUAACGACUGCAAUUGCUGCCGUCGCGAACUCAAAAAUAAGAUGCGACGGCUUUGCAUCACCGUCGUUUCUAUUCUUAUCAAUUGCGACUGCAUAUACAUGCCGUCGCAUGUACUUGUGUCAAUUGCGACAGAGCUAACAAGCCGUCGCUUGUUUUAGGCAAUAAGAUUCGAGUAUGAGGGGGAAAAAAAGAAAAGAAAGAAAAACGAUAAAAGCCAGAUCCAGAUCUGGUUUCCUCUCUCGUUCUCUUCCUCUCGUCACAGAGCAAACACGCAGAUGGGUGAUGGCUACGUCGACGUCGAUCGCCGUGCUUAGUGGCCUGUGGUUGAGGCGUACCGCGGGUCUCUUUGAUGAAGGAGGUGAGCUGCUGCUUGAAAUCAUCCAAUAAGAGGGUUUUGAAACUAGCGAAGGAAGCAGCCAUGGAAUCGCGUAUGGAAGCUUGGAUCUCCUCUAGUUUAGCACUAGUUUCCUCACGAUGGACUUGCAGCUCAUAUUCCAGGUGAGAGAGUUCACCAGAAACGUGAGGUUCAUCGGAAGCACGCGGAUUUCUGGGUUGAAGAUAUUGGAAUUUGUCUCGAGCUUUUGGUCAACUGGUCUUGCUCUUGGACUCUUGGUUCGAUUCAAAAAUCUUCAAGCUUGGUCUUCGGAUACUCUAGAAUCAAUUUCCCAAGCUUGCAACUUUGUGCUUUUUAGCACCAUUUUGGCUUCUCAUUAGUCACAGACACUUUGCAACUGGAUUGGGCUUUGCAGAAAACAGAAGCAGACGAACAAGAUUCCACAAGCUUCAGGGCUUCAUCCGUCUCAGUAUAUUCCAGUGAGAAUAUGAAGGCAGGCUAAACAAUAUUCCAACAAUCUGAGCUGCUUCUUAUUCAAAAGGAAUACAAAUUGUAUUCUUCUCAUCAGUUGUCAGGAUUUUCAAUUUAUCUAAAUUCAGGCUUUCAUGAGAAAAAAAAAAAUCCCCGCAGCAUCGCGCGGGUUUAAGCACCAGUCAAUUUGCCUGAACUUUCAUAUCAAUAGAAAACGGACACAUAUCUUGAGGAAGAUGGAGGAAGAUCCCUGCAAAGCUUUUCUUGAAGUAGAGGAAGAAAAGUACCUUGUAUUAUCUUGUAAACUCUUGUAUAAGAGCUUCAUUUCUUUUGUAACAUUCAUGAGAAAAAUCAAAAUGUAACAUUCCCUUUUCAAUAUAUGUUUAAUUCCUUUUUGUA